rnacentral:rRNA from 1 species
UGGGGGAUAUUGCACAAUGGGCGAAAGCCUGAUGCAGCGACGCCGCGUGGGGGAUGAAGGCCUUCGGGUUGUAAACUUCUUUUGCUCUGAACAAGGCGCACCAUGGGGUGUGUUGAGUGUAGGGGUUGAUUAGCGCCGGCUAACUACGUGCCAGCAGCCGCGGUAAUACGUAGGGCGCGAGCGUUGUCCGGAAUUAUUGGGCGUAAAGGGCUUGUAGGUGGCUGGUUGCGUCUGUCGUGAAAGCUCAUGGCUUAACUGUGGGGUUGCGGUGGGUACGGGCUGGCUUGAGUGCAGUAGGGGAGGCUGGAAUUCCUGGUGUAGCGGUGGAAUGCGCAGAUAUCAGGAGGAAUACCGGUGGCGAAGGCGGGUCUCUGGGCUGUUACUGACACUGCGGAGCGAAAGCAUGGGGAGCGAACAGG